ACUCCUACGGGAGGCAGCAGUGGGGAAUAUUGCACAAUGGGCGCAAGCCUGAUGCAGCCAUGCCGCGUGUAUGAAGAAGGCCUUCGGGUUGUAAAGUACUUUCAGCAGUGAGGAAGGCAGGUACGUUAAUAGCGUGCUUGUUUGACGUUAGCUGCAGAAGAAGCACCGGCUAACUCCGUGCCAGCAGCCGCGGUAAUACGGAGGGUGCGAGCGUUAAUCGGAAUUACUGGGCGUAAAGCGCAUGCAGGUGGUUUGUUAAGUCAGAUGUGAAAGCCCGGGGCUCAACCUCGGAAUUGCAUUUGAAACUGGCAGACUAGAGUACUGUAGAGGGGGGUAGAAUUUCAGGUGUAGCGGUGAAAUGCGUAGAGAUCUGAAGGAAUACCGGUGGCGAAGGCGGCCCCCUGGGACAGAUACUGACACUCAGAUGCGAAAGCGUGGGGAGCAAACAGGAUUAGAUACCCUGGUAGGAUAGCG
rnacentral:rRNA from 1 species